rnacentral:lncRNA from 1 species
UGAGUUGUAGGAAUAUUUGAAAAAUUAAUUUACAAGAAUGUUUUCCUUUUUAUUUAGUGACAAGAAAAAGAAGAACAAAUAAAGAAGAAUGAACCAUGCAGUAAGCACACAACAUCUAAGGAAGAAAACAGGAACGUUUGCAGCUGCAUGAGGUGCUGUGGUGUGACAUUGAAGCCUGUUUCAGGUGUUCCUGAGGGCUUAAGUUGCUAACUUAAAUCUUUACUAAGUAGUAUGCUUCUGUGAAGAAUGUAUGUAAAAUAAUGGAGAAACUUAGCAAGGACUUACUGCUUUCUGGGGAAGCCUGGAAAACCACAUUGCAUGGCAGUCCAGUAUUGGUGUAUUUGGGUUAACAAUAUCAGACAGCAUCUCCUUUACCUCGAAUGCUUUUGUUUGGACACAAUAGAACAGCAUGGAAACAGAGCAGUAUGUUCAGGUUAGUAAUACAGGAGAGAAUUUCAUAGUGCUGGACUCUAUUUUUGUGUCCUGUGAACCGUCAAAGAUG